rnacentral:lncRNA from 1 species
AGACCAUUUGGUUUUAUCUAGGUCAGGCCUAAAAAUCUCCUCCUGGGAAGCAUGGAUUCCCUGACUUGACAAAGUCAAAACGAUUUCUAAUGCCAAUGAAUUUGUAAAAUUAAAAAAAAAAAGUUUUCAGAGAGCAACAGGAGGGAACAAAAAGCCAGUUAGACAAUCCUUUUUAGGAAAAAAAAAAAUACAAGAUCUUGAGUUAGAAAAUGAGAGCUGUGGCCUUGGCUGUAUCCCUUGGACACAAUUUCCUGCUGUUUAUAGGGAC